rnacentral:rRNA from 1 species
AAAAACAUGUCUUUUUGAAUUAAAUUUAAAGUCUAACCUGCCCACUGAUAUAAAUUAAAGGGCCGCAGUAUUUUGACUGUGCGAAGGUAGCAUAAUCAUUAGUCUUUUAAUUGGAGGCUUGUAUGAAUGGUUGAAUGAGAUAUAUACUGUCUUUUUUAAAAUUAUAUAGAAUUUUAUUUUUUAAUUAAAAAGUUAAAAUAAAAUUAAAGGACGAGAAGACCCUAUAGAUCUUUAUUUUUGUUAUUUAUAAAUUAAAAAGAAUUUUAAAAUUUAUAAUUUAAUAAAAAAUUUUAUUGGGGUGAUAUUAAAAUUUAAAAAACUUUUAAAAUUUAUUAACAUAAAUAUAUGAAUAAAUGAUCCAGUUUUAUUGAUUAAAAAUUUAAGUUACCUUAGGGAUAACAGCGUAAUUUUUUUUUAGAGUUCAUAUCGACAAAAAAGAUUGCGACCUCGAUGUUGGAUUAAGAGUUAUUUUUAGGUGUAGAAGUUUAAAGUUUAGGUCUGUUCGACCUUUGAAUUCUUACAUGAUCUGAGUU